AUGAUGCGCAACGCCAACAUUUUCGACAUCCUCAUAAAGGUGAACUCCUUCCCUUUGAGCCAUCCUCACAUACACUUCUACCACGACAUUGAGCUAUGGUAUAACACCACCCAUAACAAAUUUGCAUCUUAUGCAUGGAUUGACUCACACUAUGAUUGCCUUGUUGCAUCUUGUAUUACCAUGCCAUCCAUGAUAUAUGAGCUUGUGCACUUUAUUAGCAAAUUUGUUGUGAUCUUUCUUGAUGACAUAUUCAUACAUCAUGAUCAUAUUGCCUACCAUCAAUUGCAUGACAACAUAAUCACUUUGAGCAACAAUUACCAUGUUCAUGCUUUUGAUAAAUCAUCCCAUUAUGACAUCAUUUUUCACAAUGGUCGCAUUAAUCACAUUCCCAACACCUUUGUGCAUACUACAAAUGCUUUUGCUCCCAUGAAUGCUUUGCAUAUCAUUCUAUAUCAUCUUGUUAAGCAUCAUGUGUCUUGCCACGCACAAUCUUGCCAUGCGGACUCAUUCUUACAUGAUGGACAAUUUGUGUGCGCUAACCAUUGUAUUUACAAGUGCCGUUUGUGUUUGCUCUUUUUGCAUGUAUACCACUCGCGACACCUUGGAGUACUUGAAUUGCGCAAUGUCUUCAACUCCGUCCAACAACAAGUCCGUCCACAAGAACCGUUUCCAUGGUGA
rnacentral:rRNA from 1 species